rnacentral:rRNA from 1 species
AGUGAACGCUGGCGGUAGGCCUAACACAUGCAAGUCGAACGGCAGCACAGGAGAGCUUGCUCUCUGGGUGGCGAGUGGCGGACGGGUGAGGAAUACAUCGGAAUCUACUCUGUCGUGGGGGAUAACGUAGGGAAACUUACGCUAAUACCGCAUACGACCUACGGGUGAAAGCAGGGGACCUUCGGGCCUUGCGCGAUUGAAUGAGCCGAUGUCGGAUUAGCUAGUUGGCGGGGUAAAGGCCCACCAAGGCGACGAUCCGUAGCUGGUCUGAGAGGAUGAUCAGCCACACUGGAACUGAGACACGGUCCAGACUCCUACGGGAGGCAGCAGUGGGGAAUAUUGGACAAUGGGCGCAAGCCUGAUCCAGCCAUACCGCGUGGGUGAAGAAGGCCUUCGGGUUGUAAAGCCCUUUUGUUGGGAAAGAAAUCCAGCUGGCUAAUACCCGGUUGGGAUGACGGUACCCAAAGAAUAAGCACCGGCUAACUUCGACCCAGCCGCCGCAGUAA